CUUUUAAAGCCCUAGGGAUUGAACCAAGGGCCUUCUAGUACUGAGCCAAGUCCUCAGCCAUUUUUAUUUUUUCUUUUGCAACAGGGUCGCCCUAAGUUGCUGAGGCUGGCCUCAAAGUUGCAAUCCUCUCUCCUUGGCCUCCCGAGUGACUGUAACUACAGGUAUGAUCUACGGCACCCAGUCUUCUACCUUUAUUCAACAAGAGGAAACAAGGAUGGACAUUCAUCCCAGCUCUAAUCACUUUUUAAAAUUUUGUUCUUUUUAGUUAUAACUGAGAGUAGAGUGUAUUUUAAAAUAUUUUAUUCACUUGGAGUACAACUUCCUGUUUUUCUGGUUGUACAUGAUGUGAAGUUUCUGUGGUCUUGUAUUCAUAUAUGAACAUUCAUAUAUAAACACAGGAAAGUCCUGUUCAUCCCAUUGUCUUUCCUAUUACCAUCUCCCCUCUCUUCCCUUCAUUCCUCUUUGUCUAUACCAAAGUACUUCUACCCUCCCUACUCCUCUGCCCUUAUUGUGAGUUAGCAUCCACGUGGAACAAGCAUUUCAUAACCCAGAUCUAAUAUUGCUGAGAAUGGAAUUUGAGAAUCAACCUAGCCAUUCUUUGAAGAUCAACUCAAGUGUCACCUUUUUCAUGGAGUUAUUCUUUGUCAUUCUUAGCUUAAGUAACAGUUCCCUCUUCUAAAGUCCCAUGUAUUUAUCUUUUUUACAACACUUGCUUUAGUGAAUUGCAGAGAGAGGGGCUGCCUUGUGAACUCACUCUUCUGUUUUGCGAUCACAUUGUUGGUUUACACAGAACACAUUUUUCUGUUCUCGAAUCAUCAGUUACAUCAUUGGGUAGCAGUUCUCCCUUGGAGCCAAUAAGGGAGUGUGAUCAGAGCACUAGUAUAUAAAGCAAGACCUUCCCAAGAAGGAUUUGGAAAAGCCUAGAAGCCUUAAAGUAGCUCAAAUUCUCAAACCCCAAGUGCAUUCUUGUAUUUUUUUUUCUAUAAGUCAUGAUUUUCCUACUGACAAAACUCAGGACAAAGGGAAGGGAUUUAUGAUGACCUUUGGUAUCUGAAUAGUCUCUCUGGUGGGAUGUCUCUGGCUUGGAAGGAUCUAGCAGGACAAUGUGAACUAACUGGAACAAGCUUGAGU
rnacentral:lncRNA from 1 species